GAUCCUGGCUCAGAUUGAACGCUGGCGGCGUGCUUAACACAUGCAAGUCGUACGCGAAAGGGACUUCGGUCCCGAGUAAAGUGGCGCACGGGUGAGUAACACGUGGAUAAUCUGCCUCUAUGAUGGGGAUAACAGUUGGAAACGACUGCUAAUACCGAAUACGCUCAUAAUGAACUUUAUGAGGAAAGGUGGCCUCUGCUUGCAAGCUAUCGCAUAGAGAUGAGUCCGCGU
rnacentral:rRNA from 1 species